GCUGGAUAAUAACCUCGGGAAACUGAGAAUAAUGAUCCAUAGUUCACUACGCCUGGAACGGUGAGUGGAUGAAAGCUCCGGCGGCAUAGGAUGGGCCUGCGGCGUAUCAGGUUGUAGGGGGUGUAACGUACCCUCUAGCCCUCUACGCGUACGGGUGUUGGGAGACAUAGCCCGGAGAUGGAUUCUGAGACACGAAUCCAGACCCUACGGGGUGCAGCAGGCGCGAAAACUUGGCAAUGCGAGAAAUCGUGACCAGGGAACUCCAAGUGCAUCGGGUAAGACCGGUGCUUUUCUUGACUCUAAAUAGGUCUUGGAAUAAGGGGUGGGUAAGGACGGUGCCAGCCGCCGCGGUAAUACCGGCGCCUCAAGUGGUAGUCGCUUUUAUUGGGCCUAAAACGUCCGUAGCCGGUCUGAUACAUUCGUGGGUAAAUCAACCAGCUUAACUGGUUGAAUUCUGCGAGGACGGUCAGACUUGGGACCGGGAGAGGUGUGGGGUACGCUCAGGGUAGGGGUAAAAUCCUGUCAUCCUGAGCGGACCACCUGUUGCGAAGGCGCCACACUAGAACGGAUCCGACGGUCAGGGACGAAGCCUAGGGGCACGAACCGGAUUAGAUACCCGGGUAGUCCUAGGUGUAAACGCUGUGGACUUGAUGUUGGGGGUGCUCCGAGCACUCUCAGUGUCGAAGCGAAAGUGAUAAGUCCACUGCCUGGGAAGUACGGUCGCAAGGCUGAAACUUAAAGGAAU
rnacentral:rRNA from 1 species